UGCAAGUCGAACGAUGAAGCCCAGCUUGCUGGGUGGAUUAGUGGCGAACGGGUGAGUAACACGUGAGUAACCUGCCCUUGACUCUGGGAUAAGCGCUGGAAACGGCGUCUAAUACCGGAUACGACCUGCCCCGGCAUCGGGUGCGGGUGGAAAGUUUUUCGGUCAAGGAUGGACUCGCGGCCUAUCAGCUUGUUGGUGAGGUAAUGGCUCACCAAGGCGACGACGGGUAGCCGGCCUGAGAGGGUGACCGGCCACACUGGGACUGAGACACGGCCCAGACUCCUACGGGAGGCAGCAGUGGGGAAUAUUGCACAAUGGGCGAAAGCCUGAUGCAGCAACGCCGCGUGGGGGAUGACGGCCUUCGGGUUGUAAACCUCUUUUAGUAGGGAAGAAGGACUUCGGUUUGACGGUACCUGCAGAAAAAGCACCGGCUAACUACGUGCCAGCAGCCGCGGUAAUACGUAGGGUGCAAGCGUUGUCCGGAAUUAUUGGGCGUAAAGAGCUCGUAGGCGGUUUGUCGCGUCUGCUGUGAAAACCCGAGGCUCAACCUCGGGCCUGCAGUGGGUACGGGCAGACUAGAGUGCGGUAGGGGAGAAUGGAAUUCCUGGUGUAGCGGUGGAAUGCGCAGAUAUCAGGAGGAACACCGAUGGCGAAGGCAGUUCUCUGGGCCGUUACUGACGCUGAGGAGCGAAAGCGUGGGGAGCGAACAGGAUUAGAUACCCUGGUAGUCCACGCCGUAAACGUUGGGAACUAGAUGUGGGGACCUUUCCACGGUCUCCGUGUCGCAGCUAACGCAUUAAGUUCCCCGCCUGGGGAGUACGGCCGCAAGGCUAAAACUCAAAGGAAUUGACGGGGGCCCGCACAAGCGGCGGAGCAUGCGGAUUAAUUCGAUGCAACGCGAAGAACCUUACCAAGGCUUGACAUAUACCGGAAACUUCCAGAAAUGGUUGCCCCGCAAGGUCGGUAUACAGGUGGUGCAUGGUUGUCGUCAGCUCGUGUCGUGAGAUGUUGGGUUAAGUCCCGCAACGAGCGCAACCCUCGUUCUAUGUUGCCAGCACGUCAUGGUGGGAACUCAUAGGAGACUGCCGGGGUCAACUCGGAAGAAGGUGGGGAUGACGUCAAAUCAUCAUGCCCCUUAUGUCUUGGGCUUCACGCAUGCUACAAUGGCCGGUACAAAGGGCUGCGAUACCGUAAGGUGGAGCGAAUCCCAAAAAGCCGGUCUCAGUUCGGAUUGAGGUCUGCAACUCGACCUCAUGAAGUCGGAGUC
rnacentral:rRNA from 1 species